rnacentral:rRNA from 1 species
GUGAACGCUGGCGGUAGGCCUAACACAUGCCAGUCGAACGGCAGCACAGUAAGAGCUUGCUCUUACGGGUGGCGAGUGGCGGACGGGUGAGGAAUACAUCGGAAUCUACUUUUUCGUGGGGGAUAACGUAGGGAAACUUACGCUAAUACCGCAUACGACCUACGGGUGAAAGCAGGGGAUCUUCGGACCUUGCGCGAUUGAAUGAGCCGAUGUCGGAUUAGCUAGUUGGCGGGGUAAAGGCCCACCAAGGCGACGAUCCGUAGCUGGUCUGAGAGGAUGAUCAGCCACACUGGAACUGAGACACGGUCCAGACUCCUACGGGAGGCAGCAGUGGGGAAUAUUGGACAAUGGGCGCAAGCCUGAUCCAGCCAUACCGCGUGGGUGAAGAGGGCCUUCGGGUUGUAAAGCCCUUUUGUUGGGAAAGAAAAGCAGCAGGUUAAUACCCCGCUGUUCUGACGGUACCCAAAGAAUAAGCACCGGCUAACUUCGUG